GAUGAACGCUGGCGGCGUGCCUAAUACAUGCAAGUCGAGCGAACAGAUGAGGAGCUUGCUCCUCUGACGUUAGCGGCGGACGGGUGAGUAACACGUGGAUAACCUACCUAUAAGACUGGGAUAACUUCGGGAAACCGGAGCUAAUACCGGAUAAUAUAUUGAACCGCAUGGUUCAAUAGUGAAAGACGGUUUUGCUGUCACUUAUAGAUGGAUCCGCGCCGCAUUAGCUAGUUGGUAAGGUAACGGCUUACCAAGGCAACGAUGCGUAGCCGACCUGAGAGGGGGACCGGCCACACUGGAACUGGGCAACGGUCCAGACCCCAACGGGAGGCAGCGUUAGGGAAUUUCCCGCAAGGGGCGAAAGCCUGACGGAGAAAGGCCGCGUAAGUAAGAAGGGUCUUGGGUUCGUAAAACUCUUUAAUUGGGAAGAAACAAUUGUGUAGUUAACUAUCCCGGCCUUGACGGUCCCUAACAAGAAAGCCACGCUAAACUCGGG
rnacentral:rRNA from 1 species